GGCACAAACUUGAAGUAGAAUAGUUGGGUAUAGUCAGCUGAUCCUACUGAUCUACUCUGUUUCAAGUUUGUGCUC
rfam:Haemonchus contortus, ISE/inbred ISE, WGS project CAVP01000000 data, contig: Hcontortus_7473